UACGUAGGGUGCGAGCGUUAAUCGGAAUUACUGGGCGUAAAGCGUGCGCAGGCGGUUUUGUAAGCCAGGUGUGAAGUCCCCGGGCUUAACCUGGGAAUGGCAUUUGGGACUGCAAGGCUGGAGUGUGGCAGAGGAGACUGGAAUUCCUGGUGUAGCAGUGAAAUGCGUAGAUAUCAGGAGGAACACCGGUGGCGAAGGCGGGUCUCUGGGCCGAUACUGACGCUGAGGAGCGAAAGCGUGGGGAGCGAACAGG
rnacentral:rRNA from 1 species